CACACCCAUGCCGCGUGUUGA
rnacentral:siRNA from 1 species